GAUGAACGCUAGCGGCAGGCCUAACACAUGCAAGUCGAGGGGUAACAUAGGAGAGCUUGCUCUUUUGAUGACGACCGGCGCACGGGUGAGUAACGCGUAUACAAUCUACCUUGUACAGGAGUAUAGCCCAGGGAAACUUGGAUUAAUCCUCCAUAGUCUAUAUAAAUAGCCUUAUUAAUAUAGUAAAGAUUUAUCGGUACAAGAUGAGUAUGCGUCCUAUUAGUCUGUUGGUAAGGUAACGGCUUACCAAAACUACGAUAGGUAGGGGCCCUGAGAGGGGGAUCCCCCACACUGGUACUGAGACACGGACCAGACUCCUACGGGAGGUAGCAGUGAGGAAUAUUGGACAAUGGGUGAGAGCCUGAUCCAGCCAUGCCGCGUGCAGGAAGACGGCCCUAUGGGUUGUAAACUGCUUUUAUACGGGAAGAAACCUCCCCUCGUGAGGGGAGCUGACGGUACCGUAAGAAUAAGGACCGGCUAACUCCGUGCCAGCAGCCGCCGAGUAAAC
rnacentral:rRNA from 1 species